rnacentral:tRNA from 1 species
ACUAUAGCUCAGUUGGUAGAGCAACAGAUUCGUAACCUGUAGGUCGUGAGUUCGAUUCUCGCUAGUG